GACGAACGCUGGCGGCGUGCCUAAUACAUGCAAGUUGAGCGAUGAAGAUUGGUGCUUGCACCAAUUUGAAGAGCAGCGAACGGGUGAGUAACGCGUGGGGAAUCUGCCUUUGAGCGGGGGACAACAUUUGGAAACGAAUGCUAAUACCGCAUAAUAACUUUAAACAUAAGCUUUAAGUUUGAAAGAUGCAAUUGCAUCACUCAAAGAUGAUCCCGCGUUGUAUUAGCUAGUUGGUGAGGUAAAGGCUCACCAAGGCGAUGAUACAUAGCCGACCUGAGAGGGUGAUCGGCCACAUUGGGACUGGGACACGGCCCAAACUCCUACGGGAGGCAGCAGUAGGGAAUCUUCGGCAAUGGACGAAAGUCUGACCGAGCAACGCCGCGUGAGUGAAGAAGGUUUUCGGAUCGUAAAACUCUGUUGGUAGAGAAGAACGUUGGUGAGAGUGGAAAGCUCAUCAAGUGACGGUAACUACCCAGAAAGGGACGGCUAACUACGUG
rnacentral:rRNA from 1 species